rnacentral:rRNA from 1 species
GACGAACGCUGGCGGCGUGCCUAAUACAUGCAAGUCGAACGAGAGCGACCGGUGCUUGCACUGGUCAAUCUAGUGGCGAACGGGUGAGUAACACGUGGGUAACCUGCCCAUCAGAGGGGGAUAACAUCCGGAAACGGAUGCUAAAACCGCAUAGGUCUUCGAACCGCAUGGUUUGAAGAGGAAAAGAGGCGCAAGCUUCUGCUGAUGGAUGGACCCGCGGUGCAUUAGCUAGUUGGUGAGGUAACGGCUCACCAAGGCCGUGAUGCAUAGCCGACCUGAGAGGGUGAUCGGCCACAUUGGGACUGAGACACGGCCCAAACUCCUACGGGAGGCAGCAGUAGGGAAUCUUCCGCAAUGGACGCAAGUCUGACGGAGCAACGCCGCGUGAGUGAAGAAGGUUUUCGGAUCGUAAAACUCUGCUGUUAGAGAAGAACAAGUGCUAGAGUAACUGUUAGCGCCUUGACGGUAUCUAACCAGAAAGCCACGGCUAACUACGUG